AUUGAACGCUGGCGGCAUGCCUUACACAUGCAAGUCGGACGAGUGGCGAACGGGUGAGUAUUAUAUUGGAACGUACCGAGUAAUGGGGGAUAACCAAUCGAAAGAUUGGCUAAUACUGCAUAUUAUUCGUGCGGCCAUUAUCUGAUUAGCUAGGUGGUGGGGUAAAGGCCUACAAAGGCGACGAUCAGUAGCGGGUCUGCGAGGAUGAUGGGCCAAACGGGGACUGGAACAGGGCCCGAACGCCUUCGGGAGGCAGAGGAGGGGAAGUUUGGACAAGGGGCGCAAGCCUGGCCCAGCACUACGGGGUGUCUGAAGAAGGUCUUCGGGUUGUAAAGGACUGUUGUUAGGGAAGCGGGACCUAAAGAGUGAGCACCGGCUAACUACGUGCCAGCAGCCGCGGUAAUUC
rnacentral:rRNA from 1 species